rnacentral:rRNA from 1 species
UACGUAGGGGGCAAGCGUUAUCCGGAUUUACUGGGUGUAAAGGGAGCGUAGACGGCAACACAAGUCUGAAGUGAAAUGCCGGGGCUUAACCCCGGAACUGCUUUGGAAACUGUGUAGCUAGAGUGCAGGAGAGGUAAGUGGAACUCCAUGUGUAGCGGUGAAAUGCGUAGAUAUAUGGAAGAACACCAGUGGCGAAAGCGGCUCUCUGGUCUGUAACUGACGUUGAGGCUCGAAAGUGUGGGGAGCAA